UGGGGAAUCUUGCGCAAUGGCCGAAAGGCUGACGCAGCGACGCCGCGUGUGGGAGGAAGCUCUUCGGGGUGUAAACCACUGUUGCCCGGGACGAACGAUGAGCAUUGGCUCAUGUGACGGUACCGGGUGAGGAAGCACCGGCUAACUCUGUGCCAGCAGCCGCGGUAAUACAGAGGGUGCGAGCGUUGUCCGGAAUCACUGGGCGUAAAGGGCGCGUAGGCGGCUCGGUAAGCGUGCGGUGAAAGCCCGGGGCUCAACCCCGGGUCGGCCGUGCGAACUGCAGAGCUGGAGCACUGUAGAGGCAGGUGGAAUUCCGGGUGUAGCGGUGGAAUGCGUAGAGAUCCGGAAGAACACCGGUGGCGAAGGCGGCCUGCUGGGCAGUAGCUGACGCUGAUGCGCGACAGCGUGGGGGAGCAAACAGGGAUUAGAUACC
rnacentral:rRNA from 1 species